rnacentral:rRNA from 1 species
UUUUAGUUGUUUUUACUCUCCGCUCAGGACGAACGCUGGCGGCGUGCCUAAUACAUGCAAGUCGAGCGGACAGAAGGGAGCUUGCUCCCGGAUGUUAGCGGCGGACGGGUGAGUAACACGUGGGUAACCUGCCUGUAAGACUGGGAUAACUCCGGGAAACCGGAGCUAAUACCGGAUAGUUCCUUGAACCGCAUGGUUCAAGGAUGAAAGACGGUUUCGGCUGUCACUUACAGAUGGACCCGCGGCGCAUUAGCUAGUUGGUGGGGUAAUGGCUCACCAAGGCGACGAUGCGUAGCCGACCUGAGAGGGUGAUCGGCCACACUGGGACUGAGACACGGCCCAGACUCCUACGGGAGGCAGCAGUAGGGAAUCUUCCGCAAUGGACGAAAGUCUGACGGAGCAACGCCGCGUGAGUGAUGAAGGUUUUCGGAUCGUAAAGCUCUGUUGUUAGGGAAGAACAAGUGCGAGAGUAACUGCUCGCACCUUGACGGUACCUAACCAGAAAGCCACGGCUAACUACGUGCCAGCAGCCGCGGUAAUACGUAGGUGGCAAGCGUUGUCCGGAAUUAUUGGGCGUAAAGGGCUCGCAGGCGGUUUCUUAAGUCUGAUGUGAAAGCCCCCGGCUCAACCGGGGAGGGUCAUUGGAAACUGGGAAACUUGAGUGCAGAAGAGGAGAGUGGAAUUCCACGUGUAGCGGUGAAAUGCGUAGAGAUGUGGAGGAACACCAGUGGCGAAGGCGACUCUCUGGUCUGUAACUGACGCUGAGGAGCGAAAGCGGACGG